UACGAAGGGGGCUAGCGUUGCUCGGAAUCACUGGGCGUAAAGCGCACGUAGGCGGCUUUUUAAGUUAGAGGUGAAAGCCCAGGGCUUAACCCUGGAAUUGCCUUUAAGACUGCAUCGCUAGAAUCGUGGAGAGGUGAGUGGAAUUCCGAGUGUAGAGGUGAAAUUCGUAGAUAUUCGGAAGAACACCAGUGGCGAAGGCGACUCACUGGACACGUAUUGACGCUGAGGUGCGAAAGCGUGGGGAGCAAACAGG
rnacentral:rRNA from 1 species